CAUUGAGAGAAUCCGCUAGAAAUAGUGGAGUGUCUGGCUUGCCAGACCUUGAAAACAGGUGCUGCACGGCUGUCGUCAGCUCGUGUCGUGAGAUGUUGGGUUAAGUCCCGCAACGAGCGCAACCCCCUUUCUUAGUUGCUAACAGGUCAUGCUGAGAACUCUAAGGAUACUGCCUCCGUAAGGAGGAGGAAGGUGGGGACGACGUCAAGUCAUCAUGGCCCUUACGCCUAGGGCUACACACGUGCUACAAUGGGGUGCACAAAGAGAAGCAAUACUGCGAAGUGGAGCCAAUCUUCAAAACACCUCUCAGUUCGGAUUGUAGGCUGCAACUCGCCUGCAUGAAGCUGGAAUCGCUAGUAAUCGCAAAUCAGCCAUGUUGCGGUGAAUACGUUCCCGGGUCUUGUACUCACCGCCCUCACAUCAUGAUGG
rnacentral:rRNA from 1 species